UACGUAGGGUGCGAGCGUUGUCCGGAAUUAUUGGGCGUAAAGAGCUUGUAGGCGGUUUGUCGCGUCUGCCGUGAAAAUCCGGGGCUCAACCCCGGACUUGCGGUGGGUACGGGCAGACUAGAGUGUGGUAGGGGAGACUGGAAUUCCUGGUGUAGCGGUGAAAUGCGUAGAUAUACGGAGGAACACCAGCGGCGAAGGCGGGUAGCUGGGCCAACACUGACGCUGAUGCGCGAAAGCUAGGGUAGCAAACGGG
rnacentral:rRNA from 1 species